rnacentral:rRNA from 1 species
GACGAACGCUGGCGGCGUGCUUAACACAUGCAAGUCGAACGGUGAAGCGCCUUCCUUUUUGGUGGGUGUGGAUGAGUGGCGAACGGGUGAGUAACACGUUAGUAACCUGCCCCUUUCUUCUGGAUAACCGCAUGAAAGUGUGGCUAAUACGGGAUACUCUGGAUCUGUCGCAUGAUGGGUCUGUGAGAGAUAUUGCUUCGGUGGGGGAUGGGCUCGCGGCGUAUUAGCUGGUUGGUGGUGUGAUGGCCUACCAAGGCGGCGGUGCGUAGCUGGUGUGAGGGGAUGGUGGGCCACAAUGGAGGGGAGGAGCCGCGGCCAAGCCUACGGCGGGAGGCAGCAGGGAGGAUUAGAGAACAGGGGGCAGAAGGAUGAAGCAACGACGCGGCGGGAGAGAAGGACUCCUGCGUGUAGAGAACUUCUGUCGCGAGAGAAACGGGCCUGCCUCGUAUGUGGGUGUGUUGACGGUAGCUGGAUAAUAAGCGCCGGCUAACUACGUG